rnacentral:lncRNA from 1 species
CUGUUAGGCAGCCAAGGUUGAGAACUACGGAUCUAGCAAGAAAUGGAUAACUUGUCAAAAUGAGAUUCUUAUUUCUUAAAAUCUUGCAUAUUCUAAUCCAAACUUUUGAAAUUCAGGAGAAAUGACCUACUUACCUGUAGUUGGAAGAAAUAGAGGUUAGGUUUAUUAUUGACAAUAUGAUUUUACACUUUGAUCCAAUAAGUAUUUAUUGAGCACUUACUAUAUGCAAGGAAAUUGUGAUUAAAAACUCUUCCUGGGAACUGUUUACUUUGGGUCAGAAAGGAGUCCAGGGUGGAGGUAUGAGUGUGGGUCCCAGCGGAAAAGAGAUGGCACACUCAAACUGGAUAACUGAGUAGGGUUUAAUAAAGGGACUGUUUAUCAUGAUAUGGGCAGGGUUUAGGGGAACCCACAAGGAAAGAUGCAGCAUCCUAGGGCUGGCUAGUAACAGUGGGAGGCAUCAGCAUUCCAGGGCCGGAAGGGACCAGGCAGACUAGCUAUCUUGGGAGGGCUGCCUGACAGAAGGAGUGAACUUCUGGAGAAGGAUGCAGCCAGGACCACAGAGAUCCUUUCUGUAUAGGAUAAUUAUCGUUGAGUUUCCUGUCUCCUGCAGCUGAGAGUCCUAGUCUGUUAGAUCAAGCAAUACUGAAUGGCUACCAAGCGCCAGGCACUGUUGUAGGAUGUUAGAGUUUGGCUUCUUGCACCAGGGGCCAGAGCAGCAGUGGAGAAGCAGCCGAGGAGCGCAAACACAGUGAACAUUCCCACCUGUCCGAAGAUGACGUAGGGAAGCACCAGUGCACUGGGGACGAGAUCGCUGCCUUAACGCCAUUUCUUAAAGGACCCUGCCUGUCGAGAUGUAUGGUGUCUGUCAUCUAACUUCGCCCCGCACUCGACCUUUUGCUUGCCUGGACCUGUGGUUACUGCCAAGACUCUGAUCCCUCAGCAUGUCACCUCUGGCAAAAAAAAAAAAAAAAAAAAAAAAAAAAAAUCCCAAAAGCUUGAGAUUCAGACGUUCCAGAUUCUGCUCUGGCCCCUUACAAAAGUAUUUAAUAUGAAGGCUUUUUAAAAUAAAAAACAAGAAGGCAAAGAAGAGGUCUUAAGAGAAAAUUUCAAAUAAAUCAUAGGAUCAAUCAUGCCGGACUGGGUAACAGCAGUUGUUUUUUGGCCAGAGUCUGAUAGCAGGCGCUUGGAAUCCUAACUGAACUAACUCUCACAGAGCUGCGUGAAACCGAGAGAUUAUUUGCUGCAGCUCCCUGUUUUGGGGCAAACGACCCUCCAGUGAUCAAAGACAGAUGCUUAUCUCCUGUCCUCUUGAGACUUUCUCGGCGUGCUUUCCUUCGAUUUGCUCAUUUGGAUAUUUUAUCGCCCUGGCAGCUAAAAACUGCUUCCUCAUGUCCAGCUGGAAUCUUUGCUACUUCAUUUGAAAAUCUAUUUUCCAUCCCUUGUCAAUUUUGGUUAUUUCUUAUGGAUCCUUUCCAGAUGUGCACAAGGUUUUCACGGUGUGGUGAAGCAGCUCGGACCCGAUACUCUGCUAAGGAUCUGCCGUCCGCAGGGCAUUUUGGAAACGCUGGGCCAGGAGUCAGGAAGACCCUGGUCUGCUGCCUGCCAGGAACCAAUUGCUUGACCUUGGAUAAGUCUCUUUCCGUGUCUGGGCCUCAUGCUCUUCAUCUCUAAAGACUCAGACCACACAAUCUCUAAGAUUUCUUCCAGCCCUGACGAAUGUGUUCAAUAAUUUUGUUAAAAACACCCUGUCUCAAACAAUGAAUCUGUGCUUAGCGUGUAAUGGAUACACGAUAAAUGUUUGUCACACAGAAUUAAGUCAUUGUGAUUUCCAUGGAAGGUUUCUCUCAGCGUUCACUAAACCUUUUAGUCACCUCGACGCCCUCUGUCCCUCCCAGGAGUGACAUCUCUCGUUUGUAGGAGUAGGAAUUGGAGUGCAGUGGUGAAGUGGCUUCUUCAUAAAGUGCAGCAGGCACUCGGCACAGGAGUAGUCAGUUUCUCAGACUCCACUGACAAGGAGGCCCAAGCUGUUUCUAGUUACUUCUUUGCUGCCAUAGCCAACCUAUUAAAAUGCCUCCGUGAUUCCAGAAAGAAAACAAGUCCG